rnacentral:ncRNA from 1 species
GGUUUUGCCUGUUGGCAAAUUAAAAGGGAAUCCUGUGCAAAUCAGGAACUAAACCCGUAGCUGUAAGUAUCGAAUAUACCGAAUGCCGUUAUCCACUGUUCGUUUGAAUGGGAAGGAGGUUUUUUCGGGAUACAAGUCAGAAGACCUGCCGUUGAAGUUU